ensembl:lncRNA
AGCUCUUUCUGUUCUGCUCCUCAGCUGCCGGGCUCUGGAGCCGUGGGGAGAAAAGCUGAGGAGACCAACCCCUCCGGGCCUGUUCUGGACUCCACUGUCAGCUCCAGUGGACAGCUGCUGCCCAGGCAGUAAUGAUGACUGACGGAUGCUACUGCCCCCUGGUGGAGCUUUAGCCGCACAACUGUUGUUUCUACCGGCGAACCUGAUGUUCAUGCAUCCCGCCACGAGGAGGCGCACUGACACAGAACACGCUUUCAAUGACACAAGACUGUGAAGCGGCAGAUCUUGGCUGCCAUUAGCAAACUACCAACGCCAGAGCCCAGCUGGUGCUGAGCAGCCGCACGCCUUUCGAGUGGGCCAUGAAAUGUGGCUUGUUCUUAUUUAAUCCCCGUGUGUAUGAAGGCCGCAUAUGCUUUCCUACCGCCAGCGCACCACGUGAACCAAGCAGUCCCUAGACAGAGGGCAAGUCCUCCUUAACACACCCAGCUAGGGCAGCGGUCAGCCAUUAGUAUCCCUCAACCAGCCUAAUCGCUCCAGUGGGCAUCCUGGCAUCCGCCGCUUCUCUGGCCAUGGUUCCUGUUCAACUGCUGCCAGAGCCUGCACUGGUGAGUGUUACUUCUCAAAUAAACAGGACGGAGAGCCUGCCCUCUACUGGCA